rnacentral:rRNA from 1 species
UACAGAGGUCCCGAGCGUUGUUCGGAUUUAUUGGGCGUAAAGGGUGCGUAGGUGGCAAAGUAAGUUGGAUGUGAAAUCCUGGGGCUCAACCUCAGAAUGGCAUCCGAUACUCCCUCGCUAGAGAUUUGUAGAGGAGUCUGGAAUUCUCGGUGUAGCAGUGAAAUGCGUAGAUAUCGAGAAGAACGCUCGCAGCGAAGGCGAGACUCUGGGCAAAUUCUGACGCUGAUGCACGAAGGCUAGGGGAGCAAACGGG